CUUAUCAAGAGCGGCUUCUGGCGUAAUGCGGGGGACUGGUCCCUAUGAAGCCCGGCAACCUAUCCUGCUGAUGUGCUUUCUGCACGGAGGGAAAAGGUGCUACUUCCUGCGGCGGUGUAACUGCCGAAAGAUGAGG
rnacentral:ncRNA from 1 species